rnacentral:rRNA from 1 species
GACGAACGAUGGCGGCGUGCCUAAUACAUGCAAGUAGAACGAGUUGCGAACGGGUGAGUAACGAGUAGGUAACGGCCUCAUAGCAGGGGGUAACUAAUGGAAACGAGAGAUAAGACAGCAUACUGUGAGAUGGACCUGCGGUGUAUUAGCUAGGUGGUGAGGUAAAGGGUCACCAAGGAGACGACACAUAGCCGACCUGAGCGGGUGUUCGGCCACACUUGGACGUAGACACGUCCCCGACUCCUACGGGCGGCAGCAGUAGGUAAUCUUCGGCAAUGGACGGAAGUCUGACCGAGUCACGCCGCGUGAGGUAAGAAGGUUUUCGGAUCGUAAAGCUCUUUUGUUAGAGAAGCGGUAUCUAACCAGAAAGGGACGGCUAACUACGUGCCAGCAGCCGCGGUAAUAC